GUUUUAGAUCUUGAUCCAAAGCCCGUUGAAAUCAGUGUAAGUCUUUCCAUUGGCUCCAGUGAGCUUUGGAUCAGGCCCUUGGUAU
rnacentral:pre_miRNA from 1 species